AAUGAAAGGGGUGGGGCUGAUGAAGUGACCAUGACAUUUCAGCCUGUGAGUGGCCCUAGUGUGACUCACAGAAGUGAGUGAGAGCAAGUUUGAGCACACGGUAAACUCGGUGAUGUUUGUGGGUGGGCUGCAAGGCCGAAGCUGAGCUCCCCAGGACGGGGCUGCGGCCUUGAAUAUCACCCUAAAUCACCUGUUUUCUCCUUCUCCGGCUGCUGGCGUUCCUUCCAGGGAGCACACCGCUACCUUUGGCUGCGACCCUUGCCCAUUUCUGGCUGGAGCUGCCCAUCACUGUGCUACGCUAAGCUCAUAACAGGUGCUCAGAAAGUGUUCAGAUGCUGAAUGAAGCCAGGUUGGUCCAGAUGUAAUGGAGCCGUUGAAAAGCUUACUUUAUUGCAAGAAUAUCAUGUGUAACACGUAGAAGCAUACAAAACAAAUGUUAAUCGGCUGUCUAUGUUACAGGAGCCAACAAAGUGAAAAAGAAAUCCCCGAAGAGUGCAAACAAAAAUCUCAAAAGGGCCUAAGAGACUCCAAUCAAACAUAAAAGGUAAACUUGGUGAGUAUAAAUUUCGGGCGAAGAUAUGAUCAGGAAGUUUGCUCAUUGUGCAAGUAAACGUUAGGCAGCUUUAUUUUUUUCCACGCAACUUGGUUUAAGUGAACAGGCUUGAGUCUUCUUGGAACACCGCGAAAGAAGCAGGUUGAAACCCUCUUCCUGCAACAAGGCUUGGUUGCUGGGCUAAUUUGCAAUAAAGAGGAUCAUCCUCUUCAAUGUAAAGGCCAGUGAGUAGGGUGAGAAAAGGUUAGGAAAUCUACCUCAUUCUCCACAGGAGAAACCUGGGUUUACUUCCUGAGGGAACCGGAUGCCUUAAGUCGAUUCGUUUUUUAUCGCCACUGUAACAAAUUACCACCAACGUAGUGCCUGAAAACAACACGAAUUCAUUAUCUCAGUCUCCUUGGGUCAGAAGUCUGGCAGGCUUGACCGGGUCUCCGCUCAGCGUCUCACAAGGCCAAAAUCAAGACGUCAGCCUGUGUUCCUUCUUGGAGGCUCUGGGAGGGGAGUCCAUGUGCCUGCUCAUUUAGACUGUUGUGGAGUUCAGCUUCACACAGUUGUGGGAAUGGCAACCCAGUCUCUUAUUGGCUGUCUGUUGAGGACUAGUCUCAGAUUCUGGAGCCUUCCCCUAGAUCUUGGCUUGUGACUUCUUUCCUCCAUCCUCAAAAUCAGCAUUGGAGGGUCAAGUCUUUCCCACACUUCAAACCUCUCUUCUGCCUCCCCCCUCUGCUACCGAUCUCUAACCACCAACUGUGUUCUUCUACUUUUGUGAGCUCCUGGGAUUACAUUGGACCCCUGCAAACAAUCCAGGAUACCCUCCUUCCUUCAAGGUCAACUGAUCAGCAGUCAGUUUUCAUUCCGUCUGCAAAGUUCUUUUUGUCAAGGAACUUAACAUAGACACAGGAUCCAGGACUUCGGGGGGUUGUUAUUCAGUUUUCACAUCAGGGACAUGACCGAAGGAAGAACCAGAGUUGAAAGAAGAUACCAAGGCAAAUGUCUGGGACCACGAGAAGAGAAAACAAAAUUUUGGUGGUUAAGUGGUCAGCCCGAGGAAAUGGCAGCUAUCUGCCUUGCUGCCCGGGUGUGUGGCAGGGUCUUGUCUUCUCUGUCACCUUUUUUAGCUGAGUUUGCUGGCCCUCGGUAGAAGCCCAGCCCCUGAGAUAGGGAGCAGGGAUGCACCCCCUGAGAGAUCUCAGCGGGAAGGCGAUUAUACUUAUUGGCCACUGUCAGCGGCGGCCACAUCCCGACUGCGAAUAAUGGCUUCUCGUCUGACAUUUCUCAGGGCUCCAGGGUGAGAGGGAGGGUAGCAAGCAACGGUUUUGUACAAGUUUACUUUCUGGGCUUCCAGGAAACAUCACUUCACAACCUGAAUCCCUCCUGCAGGGCACAGGAGUCUGGAGGAGCUGGCAUCUCGUCCCCCCGCCGAAGGCUCCCGCGGGAGAGUGGCUUAAUACCAUUGCCUAGUUUCUUGGGUUUCUUUUUCUCUCUUUUAACUUGUUGAUGUUUUUAUUUAUUUUUUGAGACAGAAAACACGAGCUGGGGAGGGCCAGAGAGAGAGAGAGGGAGCCAGGAACCGAACUGAAGCAGGCUCCUCGCUGACAGCACAGAGCCCGACACAGGGCUUGACCUCACAAGCCGUGAGAUCGUGACCUGAGCCGAAGUCGGAUGCUUAGCUGACUGAGCCACCCAGGCGCCCCUAGUGUCUUGGGUUUCUAUCUCUCGCCCUCAUCAGACCAGAAGAAAAACUGCAAACGUCAGCAUGAGUGAUACCCAUAGACUACAGACCGUCCCCAAGUUGUACCCCGGGCAGCACAGCAUUCCAAUUGUGCCAAAGGGCCCACAGCACUUCAAAGAUCUCUAGAACAUUCUCUCAUUUCACUCUGAGGGUCUUCAGUACAAGGGGAUAUAAGGGACAUACAUCACUGAUGAAAAGUUUGGGAAGGCCCCUCGGGCCUUGGGGACUGAAUGACUCUUACUGAAAGUGGCCCCUCGGUUUCACUGACAUGGCCAGUGGGUCCAAAAUCUUGUUUCCUCCCUGUGGUAAUCUCUUAGGGCCACCGUGACAAAGUGCCAAAAACUGGGUGGCUGAAAGCAGCAGAAAUGAAUUUUCUGACAGAAGUUAGAAGUCUGAAACCGAGGUAUUGUGAGGCCCAUGCCUCCUCGGAACCCAUAAGAAUCCUUCCACGUUCUUUUAGCCUCUGGUGUUUGCCAGAAAUCCUUGUCAUUUCUUGGCUUGUGGACACAUCGCUCCAAACUCUGCUUCUGUCAUCCAAGGUGUUCUCCCUGUGUGUUUUCACAUGGGGUUCUAUUCCCCCCCCCAUCUCCUCUCAUCUUCUUUAGGGACACCACAUUGGCUUAAGGACCCAUCUAACUCCACUAUGACUUCAUGUUAAUUAAUUACAUCUGCCAUGACCUUAUUUCUUUUCUUUUCUUUUCUUUUUUAUUUUAGAGAGAGAGGGAGUGAGAAAGUGAGUGAGAGCGGGGGAGAGGGGCAGAGGGAAUUCCAAGCAGGCUCCACGCUCAGCCCGAUGUGGGGCUUGAUCCCAUGACCCUGGGAUCACGACCUGAGCCGGAAUCAAGAGUCAGAUGCUCAACGGCUCAACCGACAGAGCCGCCCGGGUGCUCCUGCCAUGAACUUAUUUGUAUAUAAGGAAGGCCACACCCUGAGGUUCCAGGCAGGACAUUUUACUCCCCUCCGCCUCUCCUUUCAUCUCCUUCUUCCUCUUCUAAACCACUGGCUGGCUUAAGAAAUGAGUUCCACCUAAAUGCAAACUGCAGAAGUGAACCCCAAGGCCCUCAGAGAAACUCCAGAAAAGACAAGGGAUUCGUCUCAGGGACCAAAACUCACCUAUGGGUGGACCUUGGCUGAUGGUUCAGUAACCUCAAAUGACCUGUUUCUUUUUCCAUUUAGUGUCUCAGGGGCUGGGAUUAGAAGAGUCUCCAGAACGGUCUGGGAUCGUUGCUGUGGUUCUUUUCCCUUCAUUUCUAAGUCGUCUUCCUCUAGGAUGGCCUAGAGAGGCCCCUGUUUGCUCUUUUCAGUUUCUAGACACUAUUGCUUCCAAUAGGAUGGCUAAGAGGGCCUCCAUUUAUACUGGAAUCCAGUGUCUUUGAGAAAAGGGCCCUAUCUUAGAGGGCUCCUUGAAGGGAGGAGAAGAGAUCAUACAUGCAGAUGGAUGCCAGUGGGCCUGGGGGGGUGGUCUGUGUCCCAGGAAGAGCCUGUCUUUACCGACUCUUCAGCCUCUGCAACCUGGACCAGACCUGCACCUGCACAGCCUUGAACCCUACGGGCGAUAUCUCCUGCCAUCCCUGCCCAGCAGCCUCGGGCAGGCGACAGCCCUUCUAGCACCUCCAGGACCCCCGAGAAAUGCUCUGAGAGGUGUGGGGAGAGCUGAGAAAGCGGUACACGCACAUACACAACACAGCACACACAUAUACCCACCAUGCACACACACGUACCCCCACAUACACACAUAGCACACACACCCCACAGGUGCUCCGAUCUCUGCCAGUCUCCUCUUUUCUCAGGUUUCCAGGCAGUUGCAGGUUCUUACCGCCCGAUGAUGUGGAUUCUCCUGGGAAAAGUGUGUUGAUUCCUUGUGAUCCCGGGUACCUAAGGAAUCUGGUGCAUCCAAGUCUGGUACGAAGCGUGCUCACGGACAACUGAGGUUCGGUAAGGCUCACAGAGCAGCAGACGAUUGCUGCUGAAAACCACUACAGUCCUCACAGUUCCCAGGGGAGGGGUCAUGCCCUCCGUGGCAGGCAGAGCAGGGGGAUGCGGGGAAAAUACGGCGCAGGUCGCUGGUGCCGGAGAAAGACGAGGAGCCGCAGGCCAGAGUCUUUAUUGUGGUUUCCCUGGGACGGGAUAGACAAGGAAGGGACAGCGGGUGUAAGAGGGGCUGGUUUGAAUCGUUUCAGCAUCUCCAGGCCAGAGGGGUUUUGCCUGGCUCUCCUCUCUAACACCUGGCUCCGGGGUGAUUAGUGAAAUAAAGGAAGGGAUUAAGGGUACUGGUUCUGGAUUGACCGGUUUGCAUUUGAAAAGAGGGGCGGGCUGUUUACUACCUCUAGCAAUUGGCUAGUCCUGGGAGGGACAGUCCUCCAAGGUCAGCAAGGCCCUCAAUGUCAAAAUUUCAGAAUACAGGGGUGCCCGGGUGGCUCAGUCGGUUGAGCGUCUGACUUCGGCUCAGGUCAUGAUCUCACAGUUCGUGGUUCAAGCCCCGCAUCGGGCUCUGUGCUGACAGCUCAGAGCUUGGAGCCUGCUUCGGAUUCUGUGUCUCCCGUUCUCUCGGCCCCUCUCCCGCUCAUGCUCUGUCUCUCUCUGUCUCUCUCUCAAAAAUAAACAUUAAAAAAAAUUUUUUUUUAAAUAUCAGGGUACAGAAAAUAAAAAGACAUGCUUAAUGCAGCUGUUCAGCAAAUCUGUUUGAUUUACUGGAGACAAUGAGUGGUCAGCAUGGUUACUUCUAAGAGGUUUUCUGCACAGGAGGCCAUUGCCUAAAUUAGUUAAUCUACCCAAAUGCACUACUAUUGAUAGAAAUCUAAGGGGUUUCUCCCAAGUGUAAAAUGUUAUUUUGCUUGGGGACUUCAGGGCCAAUGCAGCUGUCUGAUUGGCUAACAUAGGAGUCACUCCAGUAGCUAACCCAGCUUGCGGUGGACCCCUCCCCAGCACUUGAAAUUUAGGUAGAAUUACCUCAAUUCCCCAAGAUCAUGCCCUGAGGAAAGUUCUGUAAAGUUUCUGUAAAUUCCUAGGGACAUACUUUUUCAUGACCCCCUCUGCCUGCAAGCCCCCAACCACCACCACUGGCCCCCAUCCCACCUGGGGUUCCCAUCCUUCUCUAGCACUGCCCCACGUGACCCCAGAAAGCAACAUUGCAACAGUUUUGCCAAUGCCCUUCCCUGCCCAAAUCAACGCUCACUCAUAAGAAAGCAGCAGUGAACAAAGUCGAAUUUACUGAAGACUUGGCAGAGGAGGUGGAGGAGGAGAGGUCUACAUCGAACACUCCACAGCAAGUAACAGAAAUCCAUUUAAAUGUUCAGAUUCCCCAGAGUGCCUUUUCACCCAACCCAUCCCCCAGGCACUCUCUCAGCCCCCUUCCUUGUACCCAAUGAUAUGCAAAUCAAUCAAUCAAGCAAACAAGCAAACAGAACAGGAGAGAAAGGAGAUAAGAAAACUCCGAAAAGGCUACGUUGUUGAGUUGCAUAUGAAAUGUAGUGAGAUUAUAUUUAAUAAUAUUUUGAAUAGUGGUUUGAGGCCCGUGUUAGGUGUUGAGCUCUGCGCUGGCAUCGCAGAGCCUGUUUGGGAUUCUCUCCCUCUCUCUCGCCCCU